GGAGAGUUAAAAACAUGGUGUUACAACUGAUGACAUAUAUUGAGACUGUCCUUUGUAAAAACGACCAUGAACAAACGAAUCCACUAGAUGUCGAACCCCAACCUCACAUCAUGCAUCGAUUGUAAGAAUGUCCUAUAAGUAACUACUUGAAUUCCCACCUAAGAACUCCCAAAAUUUUCUGGUCAUGCAAUUGGGUCCAC
rnacentral:lncRNA from 1 species